ACGAGAACUUAGAGCAAAUUUCUGUUCUUAGUCUGUAUUUUCUUUUCUUUUCUGGUGUUUGCAUGUUAAAUUUUAUUUAUUGUGCUUAAGUAGAGUAGGUAUUUUAUUUUUUAUUCUCUUUUUCUCCUUUCUUAUAUUUUUUUCCCAUGGUUGAACUCAGUCCUCCGUAAUUUUGAUCGUCUGUUGCCCUUUGAUUUACAUUCACUUUUCCUCCUGUUCACAGCAUUAUUGGAAGGAAUACAUCAUUAUGAAGCAUUUUUCAAAAUAUAAAGUGGUGGUGCUGUAUAGCAGGGAAGGCCAUCCAAAGCCACUUCAGCCACUGACGACGCAGAAAAUGUCUUCUCAGCUGCUCUUGACUUCGGCAAUACCAUGUCUCUAGAAACACGAAAACAGCAGGGUGCUGGAGACAGCCAAACCUAGACCCCUCCCAGGUCUGUAAUUUUCAUCCCUGAUGCUCUCUGAAAUGGAGACAAUCACAUGUCAAGGAGAGAAGGGUAAGAGUCAUUGUGACUAUUCCUCUGUGAUCUCCCCUGAAAAGCGAUUGCUUUAUCGUCGCCAAGAAUUUCUGAAUCCAAGUUAGAAAGGAAAAAAAAAAUGCUUGCCAUGUUCUUAGUACCAUUUGCCUUGACAGGAAAAACAACAGCAUCUUGCCUCCUCAGCUUAUUCCUCAUCAGUGAACUCUUCCCCAAACAAGACACUCCACAUCAGCCAUUUGGGAUCGCUUCCAUCAGUGUUGUAACGAGCUCUUCUAUGCAGUUUGUACUCACUGCAAAAUGUACCGAAGCCAAGAGCAAGGAGUUGGUAAUCUGGGCACCCACAGUUGUGAUGAGGCAUCUUCAGUGUAAUCGUCCAAAUCAAAUAUUUGGCUGUGCUUCUUCAGAUGCAAUAUCUCAUAUUGUCACUGUUGAACUGGCAGAGGAGCGGAGCUCGCACUGGAAGAGAUGCACCCGAGGGAGCUGGGGGACGGGGUAGACCAGAGGGAGGAGAAGAGUCCUCACAGCAUUCACAGCAUGCCUCCUCUUCCUGUAAUACCUCUCGCCCUUUGUUCAUCUCGGUCAUUCCUCUAAAGCUGCUGCACCCCUUGGACGAGGGCCAAACCUUUAUAAAGCCAAGGAAGAAUAGUAGAAAAGCAUACACCUCUUUGUGGUCGAAUUUUCCUUUAAGCAGCAAAGAUUUCAAAUAAUAGUUCUCAUACUAGUAGUAUUUCACAAUUAUCCACUUCUAAGCUGUUAUCUGUGAAGGUGACAUGGCAGCAUGCUUUUGAAAUGCACCUUCUAGUCAAUAUAGCAAUUCUCACAUAUGUUAUUUCAUUUGGUUCUUAAGACAACCCCAUAAGCUAACAGUUCAGCUCAGGAACUGUUUUCCCCUUUUUUUUGUAGAAGAGACCCUAAGCACUAAAAAGGACUAAUAGCUCAUACAAGGAGCUGGGAAGUUACCCUCAAAAUCUGUGUCCACUCUUCCCGUCUGCUAUGCUACAUUUCCCGCAGGACCGUGAUUGCUUUUCACAAAAAUUUACAGAUAUUUUAGGAAAUAUUCACUCUCGUAUCAGAAAUGUGUCACCCUGUGCGGUACAUUUUUCAGACUAGAAAACCUCUGUGGAUUUCUUUAAAAUUCGUCACAAACACAAUAUUGUUAUUUAUUUUUUUUCUUUUCUAGUUGAGAGGGAAAAUUGAGUAUAUAAACACAGCUUCUCACUAACAUUCCUAUGUUACUACUUUGUUCAUAUUAUGCCCAGCUUAAAUGGACUGGGUUGACUGUACUCAUCACUCUCACCUGGCUCCCUUGUGCUUAAUCCUCUGGCACUGAUCUCUGGUUUGUUUGUUUUCUCAGGUGCAGUUGAUGGCUCCUGCUUCUAAAUCCACGGAUACACUUUCCUGUGGUGGCUACCUACUUGGAGUUCAGAAUUUCACCUGUCUUUGGACUGCCUGUUUCUGAGUUUCACUCGCCUUUUGAGACCUACUGCUACUUGUUCUAGACCUCCUGUCACUCUGUUGGCAUUUGUCUAUUUCUUCAUUAUCAAAUUUUUCUGAUUGAUAGGUUAUUCUGCCUCCUGGUCCCCAGAAACUCCCCAGGUCUACUUCAAGAUUAUGUUUACCUAAAUAAUUGGUCAAUUUUUACAUCCUUGUUUCUCUCAAGACCUGAUCAUCUCAGUUUAUUUAUACAGGUUAUUGAUAGUUAUUCAUAUAAGUCAAACGUAUCAACUGCCUGCAGUAUAAUGAACAUGAUAGAUUCAGAUUACAAUUUUUCUUGAAACUCAGGAGGGUAAUUACAGACAAAAGCAAGAGAAAAUAAGCCAUGGUAGAACCUUAAGCAGAUAAACGAGUUGAUGUAGAGAGUAUUUACGACAGAAUAGUCUAACAGUUCUAUGAAGAAUAGAUUGGCAAAUACGGCAACAUGGCAGAGAUCAAUAAAAGCCAUUUUAGUAAAACAGUGAAGAAAAUAGCAUGUGGGAUUGAGAAAGAAAGGAAACUAUGUAUGAGGUAUAUUUCAAAGGAAAGAGUGAUAGCUCUUUAUUCAUUAAUCCUUCAUCAGGCAGUCAUUCAGUAAGUCAACACAGAUUGAGCAUAUUUGUUAGGGAUGGAAUGAUAUGCCCUCACACCUGUGUUGAAGUCUUAACCCCUAGUACCUCAGAAUGUGAACUUAUUUGAAAAUAGGGUGCUUGCAGAUGUAAUUAAUUAAGAUCAGAUUUAAAAAAUCCUCUUGUUUUUCCUUAAAUAUUGAGUGAGAUGGACCGCUAAUCUUAUAUGGCUGGUGUUCUUAUAAAACAGGGAAACUUGGGCACAGACAGAUGUGCAUAGACAGAAGAUGAUGUGAGAAGACACAGGAGAAGAUGGUCAUCUACAAGCCAAGACUCCAUAAGCAAAUGGACUGGGGCAUGACUCAGUCAUAGAGAACCAAACCAACUAUGGCAUGCAGCAGAUGGCAGGAUUUAGAAGAUUCCACUCUGUAUCUCCAGCACCCAAUGUAAUUGGGAACACCAGUGGUUCGUGGUCCAAGAAUAACGGAAAUGUCUCAUGUGACAAUUGUGAAAUAUUUUUGGACCAUUAGAGCUUACUAAACAAAUUUAUUGAAACUUCGAAUCUGGGCUAAAAGACAGACAAGCUUUAGAAGUUAAUUUAUGACUGAACAGAUAAUUUUAGCUUCCUGGAAUAUUUACAUUUUAAUGGUGCGGGGAGGAGAAAACUCCAGAAACAUAGUGAUAUUCCUGAAUUAUAGAGCAGGGGACAUGAAUCUUGUCUUUCUCCUGAUGGAAAUAUUUUACAUUUUAAAGGGUUAGAGUAAGAAGCUAAGAUCUUUUCCAUUAUGUUUCCAAAAAGGCUCUCAGAAGAGGAAGGGUGAGCAGUCAUGUUUAUCUUAUAUUUAAACAUUCAGAUUCACGUUUUAGGGGAUUACUCACCUACAGCAAGAAUCCCUUACAUGUAGGAUGACAUCCGUGUUUUAUCACGUCACCUCAAGAGAAAAAAUUUGGGUGCUAGGGAAAUUUGUGAGUAUUUUUUACUAUAAGUAAAUAGCACUAAUCUGUUGUGCUACAGAAAACUUGUGAGUGAAUUACGAAUACCAUAAUAAAUAUAAGUGUAAAAAAUUUAACAUACACAAACUUCAAACUACAGGAGCGAGAGAAAAAAACAUAUAAAGAUGUUACGUUGCUGACUUUGAGGAAGUUAGGGGUCACAAGUCAAGGUAUGAAGGAAACCUCUAGAAGUUGAAAAUGGCAAGGAAAAUAAUUUGGGGUAGCAAAGAACUGUAAAAUUAAAUAACUUAAACUUAAUUUAAGCUUAAAUCUCUUGGAACUUUAAAUUAUCUUGAGCCAUGAAGGAAUGUGGCUAUGCAGCCUGAGACAUGUGACAUGCAGCUGCCAACUUCUGCCUUUUUUUUUCUUCCAUAAGUAAUUAAGACCAAACACACCAGAGGCAGAACUACCUGGGGUCAAAAAGUAAUAAUCUUCCCUGGAAUGUAGCAAUGUGUAACCAACCAAACCACUGCGACACAUGCACCUGGUCUUGUAUGGAAAAUGCUGUGAUUCUGCUGAAACUUCUUUAUUUCUACCUAGAUAAGUGAAACCUUAACUCCUCCACUUGGGGAAUGCUGAGCCCGUUCAUUCAGAGCCUGUGUUUCUCGUAUGGCUAUCCUCAAGCUCUGUGCUUGAAUAAACUCUGUGCUUAAUCAUA